UCUUCCUUUGAGCAAGGACUUCCAGCGGCCUUAAGGCUAUGGCCAUAUCCAUCAUUGUCCCUGUUCUUCUAAGUCUUCUGAAAAAAAAAAAAAUCCUGCACUUUGGAUCAACAAAGGGCCGUGGUGAUGAUAUAGUCGAACAUUCUCAUUUUAUACCUGAAGGUGCUGAGACCUAGGCCUGUGAAGUGGCCUCCAUUCUCUGUAAUGGUCUACAUGGGCUUAAUGUCCAUGGUCCCCCAGCUGGUGAGUGGCUGAUCUCAGACUCAAACCGAAGUUUGCUGACUUCCAUUCCAGAGCCUUUUCCAUCGCAGCAAGUGUCAAGAUGUCAUUUGUCCUCAGAAUAUACGUAAGGCAGGGAUCAUCCCUUGGCUAACAGACAGCAUAGAUGCUUAAUAACACAGGACAAAGUGAUAAUUGACAUGAAAAUUGAUUGAGCUCCCGUUGUGGCACAGGACCUUUGCUUGGAGACUUCAUAUACAUUUGCUACAAACAAGAGUUCGUGACUCAUUCCUGCUCUUCAAAUGGUUUUGGUGUCAUUGAUAGAGACUCAUUUGAAUUUGUGGCCACUUCAGUCCACCAGUCCUUGUGCUGUCUCAUCGAAUCUGGAUCAUCAUCACUUGAAGUAUCAGAAGGCAGACGUCUUUUCAAAUUCCUGAAAGUUAAGAAAACAAAAACAACCCCUUUUGCUUUUUAUUUUAAAAAUGAUGCAGGUUCAUUUUGGAAAGUCUGGAGAAUACUGACAAACAAAAACAAAAAAUAAAGGCCAUCUAUAAUGCAGU